rnacentral:rRNA from 1 species
GAUGAACGCUGGCGGCGUGCCUAAUACAUGCAAGUCGAGCGAACGGACGAGAAGCUUGCUUCUCUGAUGUUAGCGGCGGACGGGUGAGUAACACGUGGAUAACCUACCUAUAAGACUGGGAUAACUUCGGGAAACCGGAGCUAAUACCGGAUAAUAUUUUGAACCGCAUGGUUCAAAAGUGAAAGACGGUCUUGCUGUCACUUAUAGAUGGAUCCGCGCUGCAUUAGCUAGUUGGUAAGGUAACGGCUUACCAAGGCAACGAUGCAUAGCCGACCUGGGAGGGUGAUCGGCCACACUGGAACUGAGACACGGUCCAGACUCCUACGGGAGGCAGCAGUAGGGAAUCUCCCGCAAUGGGCGAAAGCCUGACGGAGCAACGCCGCGUGAGUGAUGAAGGUCUUCGGAUCGUAAAACUCUGUUAUUAGGGAAGAACAUAUGUGUAAGUAACUGUGCACAUCUCGACGGUACCUAAUCAGAAAGCCACGGCUAACUACGUG